rnacentral:rRNA from 1 species
UACGGGGGGGGCAAGCGUUGUUCGGAAUUACUGGGCGUAAAGGGCUGGUAGGCGGCCAACUAAGUCGGAUGUGAAAUCCCCAGGCUUAACCUGGGAACUGCAUCCGAUACUGGUCGGCUUGAAUCCGGGAGAGGGAUGCAGAAUUCCAGGUGUAGCGGUGAAAUGCGUAGAUAUCUGGAGGAAUACCGGUGGCGAAGGCGGUUCUCUGGGCCUGUACUGACGCUGAGGAACGAAAGCGUGGGGAGCGAACAGG